ensembl:lncRNA
CAGCAAGUGUGGAGCCAAACAGAGUACAGUGCAUAGACUGUACAUACAUUUUUUUUCGUUAGUUUUCAUGGUCAAAAUGAGAGAUUAGGUGGCCGAUCUCAAAAAUAAAUCAAUAUUGAUUUUUUUAUAGAGCGUUAAAGUUUUGCGAAACCAGGGGGCGGGACUACUUGAUUGACAGUCCGGUCUGUAAUGAUUGACAGGUCCUAUGGAGGAGGCAGCAGAGACUCUGCUCUCCUCGUUUGGAUUAAUUGUGAUAUAAUAACUGUUGGUUUAUUUAUCGGUGGAGCAGCAGAACAUUUUCCACAGACAGUUUUCCUGCCCGUUGGCUUGUUUUAACCAGUUUUCUGCCUUCGGCUGAUUGUACCAGCAGACACUGAAAGGACUCUAAUAGUUCGGUCCCUCUCUAUCUCCCCACACAUCCACCAACCACUGGAACACAUCUCCAAAGUUCUGCCGGGCCGGCUCAGCUUCCCCUCAGAAGAAGUUCCGCCACCUGCCAGAUGAAGGAGCCUUUUGAGAGGCAGCUGGCAUCGUGAUUGGACUGCACUUUGGUCUGUUCCAAUCCAGCUUCACCUCCAGAGACGGCAGGCGGGACGAGUCAACGGAGGCCGGGUGGACGAAGACAUGCAGCUGAGUACAAUCCAGAAAACAACAGAGAAGGAGUGCAGUGGCCCAGAGCCAGAACAGAGUAGCAUCGUAUGUCUCUUAGAAAACAUCAUAGUACAGCCUUUGCUAUGAAAAAACGCCAUCAUAUACAUCGUAUAUUGUACAAAUAACAAGUCAAAGGAAAGAGACAUACAUUGUAGAAUUGUAGUAAUUGUGGACUGACUGAUUUACUAAUUAUCAGUAUUUUAUUUUUUACUGAUUUACGGUAAUAAAUACAUUUAAAACUGGCGCUACUUUGGCUCUGAACCUUAAUCUACCUGUGGUCCCUCUGUCUUCUGGAGUGAUUUGAUUGGUUAUACGUCACGAAUAAAACUCCUUUAACUUAACAUCUGUAAACGAAACAAUAACGUAUCAACAAAGUUUCCUGUUAGAGUUUGUGUUCUUCUAAGUUUAACUCCAAGAUUUUAAAUACUUUCAUUUACUGCAAAUGAAUAUCUACUCCAAAUGUCUCAGUAAUAAUCAUUAUCAGCCUUAAAAACCCACAAAACACCCCUCUAUACUCGACCACACUUAGUACAGUCCAGUUUCCCCUUCUAUAAAUCUCCUUGGAAUCUUCCACUUCCUGUUUGUCAAAGUGGCUUUCUACCUGGACAAGUUUUGUUGGAGCUCAUGCAACAAACAUUUUGGGUAACUGCACUUUAAUAUGGAUGGAUGACACUGACUUAGAGUCUGUUUUAAUGAGACUGAGUUAAGAUGUGUAGCUCUGUCGUUAAAUAGGAAAUGAUUUCUCAGAAUUCACAGAGAAAAGUCUGAAAUGUUUGCUAGGUUAGCGUCCCACAUGUUCUUUGGCUCAGCUAAAGCUAACUCUCUCCAACUUCUGGAUCUCUUGAGUUGCUAGUUGUUAAAAUAUCUUGCUGUAGGUGCUGAAGCUCAGAAAGUCUGAGAUGUUUGUUCAGAAUAAGCUCAUUCUCAAGUCUUCUCUGAACUGUCCUCUUUUGUUUGAACUUUCCCUAAACUUAGGAGUUAAUGAAAGAGCAGCACAUCCAGACUCAGUCUCAUUUAUGUAGAGAUUAAACUUCAGUGUCAUUCAUUGAUGUUAAAGUGCAGUUUUUCAAAUGUUUGUUGCACAUGCUCCCGACCAAACCAGUCCAGGUGGAAGACGAUGUGAAGAGAAAGCUCCAGAGGAUGAAUAUCACACAUUUACGUUGGAAAUAAAUGUCCUUUAAUUUGACAUUGUCAUGCAAAUGAUGUUCAAAUCUUUGAGUGUUUUGUUGAUGUUGGUUUCUAAAUGUUUUUUGACACUCGGCCCCAAAUAUUAAAACCUUCUACGGCUCACAAGCUGCAACAAUUCACA